CUCGUCUUCACAGCGCGUUUGCCCCCUUCUCACAAGACAUUUCUAGUCCGUGCAGAGAGGCGCGGGCACCCCCGGGACGAUCAGCGGGCCUGUUAGGGCCCUGGUGUGACACCGCCUGUCCGAGCGAUACGCCGACACGGGCACCCGGCGCACCCCCCGCAGUCGUACGGCCUCCAUAUGCGCACAUCACUACAAUGAGGGUCCUUCAGUGAAGGCCCCGGCUCUCCUGAUAUCUGGGAUAUUAUCUGGAAAGAUUUUUGCCAGUGGAGCGCAACAAAAGCCCCCCUGUCUUCCCGGUCAAUGGUAUCUUCCAGUCUAAGCCGGACUUCCUGUCGUCUGCGCAGCAUGCUGAUGGUCCUGUGACGGACAAUGUGGAGCCAGCCAUCGCAUCUAUCUGCACUCUAAUGAGAUCAGC